AUAACUGUCCUAAGGUAGCGAAAUUCCUUGUCGGGUAAGUUCCGACCCGCACGAAAGGUGUAACGAUCUGGAUACUGUCUCAGAGAGAGACUCGGUGAAAUAAAACUAUCUGUGAAGAUGCGGAUUACCUGCACACGGACAGAAAGACCCUAUGAAGCUUUACUGUAACCUGGAAUUGCUCUCAAGCUUAUCUUGCGCAGCUUAGGUGGGAGGCUAUGAACCUUUUCUUCUGGGAAAAGGGGAGCCGUCAGUGAGAUACCACUCUUGGUAAGCUAGAGCGCUCAGUCUUCACCGUCAUCCGGUAAGACGACAGUUUCAGGCGGGCAGUUUGACUGGGGCAGUCACCUCCCAAAAGGUAAUGGAGGUGUGCAAAGGUUCCCUCAGGCUGGACGGAAAUCAGCCAUAGAGUGUAAAAGCAAAAGGGAGCUUGACUGCGAGACUGACAUGUCAAGCAGAGACGAAAGUCGGCUUUAGUGAUCCGACGGUGCUGCGUGGAAAGGCCGUCGCUCAACGGAUAAAAGUUACUCUAGGAUAACAGGCUAAUCUCCCCCAAGAGUUCACAUCGACGGGGAGGUUUGGCACCUCGAUGUCGGCUCAUCGCAUCCUGGAGCGGAAGUACGUUCCAAGGGUUGGGCUGUUCGCCCAUAGAAAGCGGUACGUGAGCUGGGUUCAGAACGUCGUGAGACAGUUUGGUCCAUAUCCUGUGUAGGCGUUUAGAGCAUUGAAAGGAUCUCCCCUUUGUACGAGAGGACCAGGUGGGGACAGACCGCUAGUGUACCAGUUAUCCCGCCAGGGGUAAACGCUGGGUAGCUAUGUCUGGAGCAAAUAACUGCUGAAAGCAUAUAAGUAGGAAGUUCACCUUAAGAUGAGUGCUCUUUUGUCUCAACCGUCCAUCCUUUAAUGCGUAAGCAUUGCGAUGACAAAUGAAAGACAAGGAAGGUCACGGCAAGACGAGCCGUUUGAUAGGCAUGAUGUAGAAGUGCAGUAAUGCAUUCUGAAGCUGACAUGUCCUAAUAGACCGAGGGAUUUGAU
rnacentral:rRNA from 1 species